UGUACCAUGCUGGUAGCCAGUGUAAUACAAAGCCUUGCUGGCUACUAGUGUUGUACCUC
rnacentral:pre_miRNA from 1 species